GGUUGCGAUCAUACCAGCACUAAUGCACCGGAUCCCAUCAGAACUCCGCAGUUAAGCGUGCUUGGGCGAGAGUAGUACUAGGAUGGGUGACCCCUUGAGAAGUCCUCGUGUUGCAACCC
rnacentral:rRNA from 1 species